GGCCGCGAUCCCGCGAUGCUGCUCACGGUGAAGGCGCUGCAGGGCCGGGGCUGCAGCCUGCAGGUCUCCCCGGACGAGCGCGUCAGCACCCUGAAGCGUCUGGUCUCAGAGAAGUUGAACGUCCCAGUCUCUCAGCAGCGGCUGCUUUUCAAGGGCAAGGCCCUGGCAGAUGAGCACCGGCUCUCGGACUAUUCCAUCGGCCCUGAGUCCAAGCUGAACCUGGUGAUCAAGCCGCCGGAGAAGGCUUCCCCCGAGGAGCCGGGGCUCAGGGGACCCCCGCCACCAUUCCCGACCAUCUGGCACCCACUGGGCCAGGUCCUGACUCGGCAUUUCAGCACAGCUGACGCGGAGAAGGUGCUGGAGCAGCUGCAGAAGGAUUAUGAGCGGAGCCUUCGUCUGCUGAGCCUGGAUGACAUUGAGCGGCUGGCCACGCGGCUGCUGCACCCAGAGGUGGCUGAUGCGGUGGAGAUGGGAUUCCUGGACUAGCACCCAGACAGCCGUGGGCCUGGGGGAAAGACUUCAGCCUGGCCCUCCCUGCACCUGGAACAAGGCGCCUGCAGGCAGGGCCCAGUAGGGGGCUUGGGGUCCCUCUGCCCCCUCCUCACGCCUCUGAACUGCUGCUAAGGAGCCUGUCUGUGUCUCCCAUUCCCCAUUAAAGGUGAUGACUAACACGGCUGUUACUCUGAAAUUUGUCACACUAUGCACCCUGUCAGUGUGCAAACCGAACCAGGGAAGGAAUGAGCCAACCAGCAGCCCAAAUUCAGUGAUGAAACCUGGUCAUGUCCAUCUGAGGCAUACGGUGCAUACACUAAGCAAUUUGCCCUGUAAAGCCAUUGGAACCAAUCAGUCUGGUUUUACGGUUAUGACUGCAUCAGUGCCGGAGUCCUAAAAAAAAUAACGCACAAUGUCAACAAGAAGACCUUACCCUUGACCCAGUGGAGCCAACAUCUGCUGCAACACGACCAGGAGCUGCUGCUGCUACUGACCUUGACAGGGGGCUGGGCCAAGAAAAACAGCGCCGCUGAACUGGUUCCUGGCUGAGAAGUAGAGCCUGGAUGCAGCAAAACACAAGAUCUCUUCCCUGCUGAGAAGCAGCCUCUGCAGCUGGAGCAGAGCAGCAGCCCAGGUCUCCAGGAAGAGCUGCCGGUGGUGGAGGAAGUACCAGUCGUGGGUGAGAUCUACGCUCCGCAACUACCACCUGUGCGCCAAGGGACAGAACAAAAUGGCAGCGUGGCCUGCUAACUGUGGCCUGUGACGGGGAGCCAGGCUGGUGCCCACACUGCAUUAGCCACUUAGUGCACCCAUCGCUUCCCUUCCUCCUUGAAAUUCUUUAGGCUGUAGGUGUCACCCCAGGUAACAGUCCAAGCCAGGUCUUUGCACAAACAGGUUUUAUUCCAUAACACCAACCCACCCUUGGAGUGGCUCAGAUACACAGGCAGCAAAAAACAGGGGGAGGGUGUGUGCGGUGUCUCUGCCACUGUCCCUGUCUCUCUACCCCCUCGCCCCCCGAAGCUUCUCAGGACACACCCCCACAGGUCAAGCAGGGGUGUAUGUGACACCGAGUAAGUCAGGCUCUGGGCAGGAAGGGGUGUCUCCCUGGAGUCAUGCUGGGAGAGCAGGGCCCAGGGCUUGGUUUGUAGGCACAGCCUCCCCUCACCACAGUUGCGUCUCCCGGAUUUCAGAAAUGGUCUGGCUGGCUCGCUGCAAGGCCUGAUGGGAGACAGAAGACAUUAGCAUAGGCAGGGGGCAGAGAGACCGCCCCCAAACACAGUCCUCCCCUCACCUGGAGCAGCCCAGCAGCCUCCUUGCGCUGCUGUGCCAUGUCCUCGGACUCUGUGAGCAGCAUGUCCAGCAGCUGCUGCUUGUAUAGCUGCCCAACCAGCUGGCUCUGCAGAUGGUCCUUGACAUAGUUCACCAGGAAAUGCAUGACCGUCUUGGGGACGCUGUGGGGUAGGGGCAAAGGUCACAAGGGCACCCAUCUAGAGCCCUUCCAACUCCCCGUGGCCCUUAGGGGUCCAGGAGAGGGGCUGCAGCCUCGCCCCCGUUCCCCCCACGUCUUACCUGUCCUGUAUGCUUUUGCGCACAAUGAGGAAAUAGGAUUUGAUGAGUCUGCGGAUCACCUCGCAAUCCCGCUGCUCCCGCUGGCUCAGCUUCCGUGUGGCCGGCAUAGGCUGUGGGGAGAGAGACAGGGCACGGGACUUCGAGGGAAAUGGGGGUCCCGCCAUGCAGGGCCUUCCCCCAGGGAUAACAGUAGUAAGGUUAUAAAACCAGGCAAUCUCCAGUAGCACAACGCUGGGAUCACACACAAAGGUCAGAAAAUUCUCCAACAAAGAGAUGGGUCGAAGCUGAAGCUAGAAACAUUGAGACUGGAAAUAAGGCAAAAAUCGUUAAGAGUGAAAGAACAGAUUGUGGUGGCCAGUUUUUCCCUAAGAAUGAUUUUGGGGCAGUUCUCUGGCCUGUGGGUGUUUGGGGGGUGGGAGGAAGGGGUGUCAGACUGGAUGAUCAAAAUGGUCCCCGCUGGCCUUGGCAGCGAAGCAGCUCUGAAAAGGCGCAAAGGGAGCCGGAGCAGCGAGAUUGGCCCAGACACAGGUCUCCUGCUGUCACUACCCCACCAUCGUGUGUGUGUGUGGGGGGGGGGACACGACUCACCGUGUCCAGCAGAUUGACAGCAUGGGAGCGACUGGGGCUGGAAUACAUGGGGGGCUGGGGGUUCCCCUUGGGCUUCUCCUCCAUGCCAGCAUCCUCCACUUUGUCACUCUUCCAGCGCCGGAUCCCCUCCGCAGGGGGGUCAUUCUGGGGAGAGCAGAGACCAGCUGGCCAUCAGCAUGUCAUGUGGGGAGGUCGGGGGCAACACUGGUGCCCAGUGGGGGGAAGAGGCUCAGCAGUAGGACAUGGGGGAGGGGAGCAGAGAGACAUUACCUUGCUGCUGCUGACAGAGGCAGACACCAGCGCUGUGUCAAUGAAGUCCGGGUGCUUGGUGUUAAUAUAGGCGAGCUCGAUUGCAACCAGAUUAUGAACCUGCAGGGGACAGCGAUGGGAUGGAGCCCGGUGAGGGAGCCAAGGAAUCCGGGCUCCCUGCACUGGGGCCCAGAAUAGUGGAUUAAAAACAAAAAACCCUAUGAGCUUCAAAAACAACACAAAAAAGUAUUUAAUUUAAACUCAAUAAAUGUGAUUUUUGUUGUGAAGCUGUUUAAAAUAAUAUUGAGAAUAUUGUGAGCUUAGCCCUUAACACAGGUUGCCAGAAUGGUAAUGGAUUUUAACCAAAAGCAGUACAUGUUUGCUGCUGACAUCUUAAAGAACAUCAAACCGCGGAAGUCACUGGCUCAGCCCUGGGAACCAGAGUUUGUGGAAGGUUAAAGCAGGUUUCGAUAGCAGAGAGAAUACUUCCUUCAUUUCAGUUCCUUCAAAGUUCAAAACCCAACCAGGAGUUGGACAAGCUGGAAUCCUUGUAAAAUCUCAGACUAGAAGAGGGAAACAACUAGUAGAUCUCGUGCUCUUACACUUAGCUUUCAUUCAAAGGACAUGGUGAAAGGCCUAUGUUGAAUAUAUCAGUUAGUUUUAAAUGCAAAACAUGUUUUGAUUUACAUUUGUUCUUAUGGACCAGCACAUUUAAGGUAAUUUAAUUUUCUUACUUGUAAUUUGUGUCCAACUCUGUUUGAAUGGAAACUAGAAUUCCAUUAAAAAUGCCCAGAAACAGCAUUUCAUGGUUUUUAUUAAUUAUCUAGUAAAUAAAAAUGCAUCAUUCACGAUUUUCUAACAUCAUAAAAUUAAACUCUGAAUAAAUGUAGGUCCAACUACAGAGAGGUUUAAAUAAAUCUGUACAGAUCUGGCACACCCGCCUGCACCGCAGACAGACGCUUCGUGUAAAGACCAUAGUCAGUUGCAAAGUAAUAUGGUUUAAUGGUUAUCAGCCAGUGAGAAUCCACCUUUUAAGUUAUCUUCCUAAAAAGUACAAAUGCAAAAUAUGAUUAAAGUUGGUGAUUUAAA